rnacentral:rRNA from 1 species
GACGAACGCUGGCGGCGUGCCUAACACAUGCAAGUCGAGCGAAUGAAGUUCCUUCGGGAACGGAUUUAGCGGCGGACGGGUGAGUAACACGUGGGCAACCUACCUCAUAGAGGGGAAUAGCCUUCCGAAAGGGAGAUUAAUACCGCAUAAGAUUGUAGUACCGCAUGGUACAGCAAUUAAAGGAGCAAUCCGCUAUGAGAUGGGCCCGCGGCGCAUUAGCUAGUUGGUGAGGUAACGGCUCACCAAGGCGACGAUGCGUAGCCGACCUGAGAGGUGAUCGGCCACAUUGGACUGAGACACGGCCCAGACUCCUACGGAGGCAGCAGUGGGAAUAUUGCACAAUGGGGGAAACCCUGAUGCAGCAACGCCGCGUGAGUGAUGAC